rnacentral:rRNA from 1 species
GUUUAUGGUCAUACUAUCUUAAUGCCAUUAGUCUUAACUGAUCUCAGAAGGUAAGCAGGAUCAGGCUUAGUUAGCAUUUGAAUGGGCCAUGAAAAAUAAAUUAUUGUGUUAUAAACU